AAUGCCUACCUAACUCUGGUUACAAGACUACACUGUAUUUUUAUGGGGCUUUUCCUUUCUCGUUCCCUACAACUUCUGUCCCAAUUAAUGUUUGUUUUUUAAAGACUGUCUUACUUCAGAAUGUCACGCUGAGAUUGAAUCAGACAAACUUGAGAGUGCUCCAUUUUAAUAAUACUUACUCACUAUCCAGGAACAUAGUACACCCAUCUAUCCAGAACUUUUAUGGACUUUAGUCAAGUUUUAGUUCAUAACUAGCAUUUGAUCUGUACUCUCUAAAAUUAUUUCUCUUUCUUUGGACUAAUUUGCCUCUUCCUAUAGUGACUUGAAAGUAUUCAUACCUAAAAAUUUAGUUACCUCAAAGCCUUAAAUAUUCUUGAUCCUAAGUUUAUUACUUUCCUCCCUAAGGACACCCAGAACUCCUGGGGUUUUUUGUAAAUAAUCUGGGAUUUAAAAAAAUUACACAAAAUUCAGUUCUUAUGGGGUAUUAAAGUUCUGGGGCUUCUGACAAAUGCAUACUCGGGUGACACCAAGAUCCAGACCUAGUCCCUUCCUCACCUAAAAUUUCCUCAGCAGCUUCUGGAUACCCAAGUCCUCCCCUCCCCCAAUGUGUUCUCCAUCCCUCUGGUUUUGCCCAAUCUCAGAUUUGUACUCAUUUUUAUCAGUAAGUAUAAGAAGACUUUUCUAUCUUAUUAAAUGUAGUUUCAUUGUUUUUUAGCUUAGCAUUACAUACAACCAAAGUAACGUCAAACCUCUGUCAUCUCUAUGAACUCAUUCCUGGCCGUUCUAAUCAAAACAGAAACAUACAGCAGUUCUAAAACGCUGCACAACUAUUGGGUCUGAAUUACUAUUUCUUGUUUUAAUUUACAAAUUAAGUAUCCUACCCUGUAGAGUUGGGAGUAGAGUCCACCAUUUUCAAAAGGACUGGCUCUCCUCCCUUUCUACGAAUAUGAAAUGAUUUUCUUUGUGUGCCCAGGCCUCUUGACUGUCUCUUUGAUUCUAUUACCCCUAAACAAUAAUUUCUUCCUGCCCAAGUGCUUACAGAGUCUUCUAUUAGAACUGCAUGAUGCUUAUGCCAAAAAUACUACAAAGUACGCUAUAUCUGACACUCAGCAGCAGGAAUUACCUGCACAAAAAUUUAAACUAGUUCAGUCAUUAAAAAUUCCAUCCAUUAAAGAUAAAAUCUAAUACUGAGAAAUGUGAUUGAUGUGAUUUUUUUAUCCCUUGUCUCGAUUUUACAAUGGAAACGAGGGGAUGCUUUACCUAGAGUGGCAGAGCAACUGGAAGAUCUUCCCUGAGGAAAAACUGGCGGACUGUUUAAUGAACUGCUUUGUGACAGAACUGGCAAGGAAGGGAAUUCAGCACGGCAAGGUUUGCUCAAUGGAAGAGCCACACCUGGAGGUUGACGGGUCAGGUAUGAAAUCUGGUCACAGAGAAGAACCACAGCUCAAGAAAGAAGAGAGGCUCGCCUACAGCAGAAGUCCUGGAGCAAGGCCUGGAGCCCCCUCGAGCACCCUUAUCGCCUCCUGCUUCACUGGGGCUGAGGGGGAAAUGUCCACAUCGCUGUCAAGAACAUGAACAGGCCACUCCUUGUGCAGUGGGCUGUGUAAGAGGCGAGUCUUUUGCCAGGGACGGGAUCUGCGCCCACCCUAUACCAGCGCCGCCUCUCAUGUGCUCUGGGUGAAAGCAAAGACUGGGAGGUCAGGGCACCUCACCUUAAACCCUGACCCUGCCACUCACUCACUCCACACUCACUUUUCUGUGUCCAUCCUCAUCUGUAAAAUGGGAUGGGCGGCGGUAAGGCAUCUGCAACAGUACCGGGCACACAGAGUGCUAAACAAGUGUUUAUAAAAUUAAAUCAACCCUCAAAAUUGCCCCUAAAUGACACUCUGCUAUCAAGCACCUUGGUGUUUGUUCUUAAAACAUCUGUGUUUUCUAGUUGAUUAAAAUCAAACAAGAUGAUUGUGACUA